rnacentral:rRNA from 1 species
UACAGAGGUCUCAAGCGUUGUUCGGAUUCAUUGGGCGUAAAGGGCGCGUAGGCGGCGGGGUAAGUCGGGUGUGAAAUCUCAGAGCUCAACUCUGAAACUGCACUCGAUACUGCUCUGCUUGAGGACUGGAGAGGAGACUGGAAUUCACGGUGUAGCAGUGAAAUGCGUAGAUAUCGUGAGGAAGACCAGUGGCGAAGGCGGGUCUCUGGACAGUCCCUGACGCUGAGGCGCGAAGGCCAGGGGAGCAAACGGG